AAACCAUGAUGAGGGCACUGUCUUUGAAGACUCUUGAAUCUAUCCCAUGCUUCAAAUAAUGAUUCUCCAUAUGCCCGAGCAAAAUUAUUACUCAUAUAAUAU